AUAAACAAGUUGAACAGAAAAGUAACAAUUAAGCAAAGCAUAGAAAGCUAAUGGUUGAUGCAAAUUAGCGUGCGUACAAUUGUGAAAAUGACCUGUGAUUGGUGUUAACGAAUUGGUUUACCAUUUAGUUGACAACGCUUUGGCCCGCGUUAUUGGGCACACCAUUCGGCUAGGAUCAUCUCCCGAUGCCCGAUGGUUAGUGAGCAAGCUAAUAGUAAUAUUAGCUUACAACUCAGAAUGGUAACGCGCUUUUUAGCCGCUUCUGUA
rfam:Leuconostoc gelidum JB7, complete genome.